UUCAACAUGGCAGCAGCGGCAGUUCAGACAAACUCAGAAAGUGAUGAAGUUGAUAAAUUAUUUUCACGGUUUAUGUGCGAGGUCAAAGAGAUUGAGAAGAGAGAUUCUGUUUUAACUGGACCACAGCAGAUAGAAAGGCUGACACGGCCUGGAUCUAGUUACUUUAAUCUGAAUCCUUAUGAGGUUCUUCAGAUACCUACUGAUGCUAAAGAAGAAGUAAUAAGAAAACAAUACAGAAAGCUGUCAUUCCUGGUCCAUCCUGAUAAGAACAGAGAGGACUCAGACAGAGCCCAAAAAGCAUUUGAAGCGGUUAGUAAUGCUCAUCAGUUGCUUCUGGAUAAUGACAAAAUGAAAAAGGUUCAUGAAAUUCUUGAAGAAGCACAAGCAAUGGUCAAGGCUAAUCUUAAAGAAAAGAAAAAGCAAGCAAGGAAAGAGGGCAAAGAGAAAAUCGAAGAAGAGGAAGAUCCAGAUAAGUUAUCAAAACUAGUCCACUCUACAACGGUCAAACUGUUUGCUGAUUAUGAAAUUAAAAGGAGGGCGCAAGAGGAAAAAGAUACUGAGCUGAGGAAGCGGCAACGUGAGCAGGAGAUAGCUGAAGAAGAAGCAACAAAGAAGAAGAAAGAGUGGGAAAAACAGUGGGAGGAAAGUCGCACAAACCGCGUAGAUAGCUGGAGAACGUUUCAAGCUGGAGGGAAAAAGAAGAAAGAAAAGAAAGGCCGCACUGCUUUCAAACCACCUGCUCUUAGACCUGAGAAACGCUAAGCUUCAGCUAUGGCUUCAGAGAGUGAUCCAAGUCCUAAAUCGCUAAAAGUUCUCUGUAUCUCAGUACUGCUUGACUAUUCUUUCAAUUGAACAGCUGUUAAUAUAACAGAGUACCUGAACUCUCUCACCACCAUGAGAGACAAAAAAGUAAUUUCUAAGCAGAGUAUAGACGAG